GUAUUGAUGGUUCAGUGGUGGAAUUCUUGCCUGCCAUGUGGGAGGCCUGGGUGUGAUUCCUGGCUAAUGCA
rnacentral:tRNA from 1 species